rnacentral:misc_RNA from 1 species
UGGAGUUCUAAUUUGUCACUCGCUCUCUCGUUCUCUGUUGAAGAUUUUUAUCCUUCUUUCUCUUCGAAGAUGAUGGUUCCAUCUUCUUCGUUAACCGUACUCAUAAUUUCCUUUUUUCUCUCCUUUUUUGCCGCACAAGCAGUGCAAGUGCCAUUUCAUUCGCAGGAUCUUCUGCCUUUGUUGCCUAGGCAAGUCUCGUGGCCAAUUCUCAAUUA